rnacentral:lncRNA from 1 species
AUUGUGUGAAAACACUUCCUCUCUCUCAGAUCCCCAAGCCAUCUGGACUCCCUGAGGACUGUCUGAUGUCUGGCUGUGGGUCUCUUUCAUCUGUUUCCACCUGCUUCUGGAAAAGCCUCUCAGGAGACAAUUAUGCUAGGCUUCUGUCUGAAAACAUAUCGUUAAUAGUGUCAGAGAUUGGUUCUCUUACAUGGAAUGUGUCUCAAGUUGGGCCAAUCAUUGGAACAUGGGAAGUGAUUGGAUUUGAAGCCCACUCCACAGGAGGGAAUCUAUGCCUAGCAAUAUGAGAAGAGCAUGAAGCUUGGGAAGUCCUGAGUGAAUUACAUGCAUGUUGGGGAAGAACAAACUCCUUACAGAUUUGCUGAGUGACUGCAUCACAGAGGACGCUUCUCGGGGAUGGCAAACCAAGAUGAAUGGAUUCCUGUCCGCAGGUCUAAAGGUUGGGGCAUGUAAAUAAACCAAUACAGUCAUCGCUGCGUCAGGCACAUACACAAGUUUCAAGGUAGAAGAGACGCCUUGUUUCCUGACAUUUCAACUGAAGACCUUCCUGUAGAGAGUGAUAUUUGAGUUAUUGUUGAAGGAAGAGAUGCAUCAGAUUAAUUUUCCUUAAUAUAAUAAUUUCUGCUUCUAUA